UAUUUAUAGUGUCAGGAGUGAAAUGAGUCAGAAGUUGUUCAAGUUUAUUUGAAAGCACAAAGUAAGUUAAAAAACAAAACUUGGUAUUAUACUAAAUAUUCUUUGACUAAUAGCUGGCCAGUUGGAGUGCCUCUGGUGUUGCUAUAAGAAGGUCCUUCAUUGUGCAUGUGGCAGGGCUCAGACUACAUUGUUGUAGGUGGUCUGUGGUUUGUUCUUCUCCACACUCUCAUGUUGUGGACUCCACUUUGUAGCCCCAUUUCUCAAGGUUGGCUCUGCAUCUCAUGGUGCCAGAGAGCAGUCUAUUGAAUGCCUUCCAAGUCACCCAGUCUUCUGUGUGCCCAGGAUUGAGUCUCUCAAUCUGGUGUCAGCCACUGAUCGAGGUUCCGUGUUUUAGCCUGCCACUUUUGGACUCUCGCUUGCUUGGGGUGCUCCUGUGAGUAUCUCUGUAGAUCUUAGAAAGCUAUUUUUUAUUUAAGGUGUUGGUGUGCUGUCUGAUAUCUGAACAGGGGAUGCGCUGGAGAUAUCAAUACCAUGGUUCUUUCAUUGUUGGCUUCUACUUCCCGUCGGGUGUCAGGUGGUGCAAUGUUGGCUAAACAUUACAAUUUUUCCAGUAGUGUGGGGUGUAGGCAUCCUGUGAUAAUGCUGCAUGUCUUAUUAAGAGCCACAUCCACUGUUUUAACAAGGUGGGAUUUAUUCCACACUGGGCAGAUGUCUUCACUUUGUCUGGUUGUGAUUCCCAGGUUGUGCCAGUCAGCUUUUGUAUGAUGGUAUUUCUAGUGCCCACUUUUUGCUUGAUAGUCAAGCAGUGCUUCUUGUAAGUCAGAGCACAGUCCAGGGUAACUCCAAAGUAUUUUGGUGUGCUGCAAUGCUCCAGUGGGAUUUCCUUCCCAGGUAAUCCUCAGAGCUCGAGAUGCUUGUCUGUUCUUGAGGUGAAAAGGAAACAUCUGCAUUUAGAUAGAUUAGGGAUCAGCUGGUUUUCCUUGUAAUAUGCAUUAAAAGCACCUAAAGCUUCAGUGAGCUUCUGUUCAACCAUUUCAAUGCUCCCUGCUUGUGAGGUGAUGGCACAAUCAUCAGCAUAGAUGAAACUCUCUGUCCCUUUUGGCAGUGGUUGGUCAUUUGUGUAAAUGUUAAACAUUGAUGGAGCAAGCAUGCUCCCCUUAGGCAGGCCAUUCUUCUGUUUUUGCCAUCUGCUUUUCUGGCACUGGAAUUCAAUAAAAAGCUCCUGUUUUGUAGCAGAUUUCCUAUGAAGCGGGUGAGAUGGUAGUCCUUUGUGAUAUUGUAAGUUUUUCUCAGGAGAAAGCAAUGAUUGACAGGAAAGAAAUAGGUUAUUUAAAUUAGCUUGAGCAAAAGUUGCAUAAAGGUAGAGAGAUAACAGUUAACUGGACAAUGAACCAAAUGAAAGAAUUGUCAUAUAUACUCAUGUAUCAGUCAACCUCAUGUACAAGUCAAGGGUUUGGGGGCCUGAAUUAUGGAUUUUAAUAUAACCCAUAUGGUGGAGUUUUCUCCUAUGGAUUUUAAAGCAGAGGCUGAAUGGCCAUCUGUUGGGUGUGCUUGUGUGUGUUACUGAAUGGCAGAGGGUUGGACUGGAUGACCCUUGUAGUUUCUUCCAGCUCUAGGAUUCUAUGAAUCUAAGUCAAGGAUCAUUGUGAAGAGAGGGAAAAUCAUCAAAGCUGCCUUAAGGGGCCAGCUUUCCCCAACACCAUUCCCCACCCAGGUAUUCAAGAAGGUCAGAAGCUGCAUUAUGGUAGAGAAAGAAUAAUUCAGUGCUUCUUUUAGCUUAACAUGGGUUGCACUAAGCUCUUCCCUUUCACCUCUUUGCUCGGAGACAGGGAUGGUUUCUUUUUUUAUAAGUGUCAAGAUUAUUUAUAUUGACUCAUGGAUAUAUAAAAACCAUUUUUUCAGAUUGAUUUUUGACCAUAAUUUCUAGACUUAUACAUGAGUAUAUACUAUAAGUCUGAUAGUCAAGAAAUAAGAACAGCUCCUCUUUGAGGAAAGAUUACAAUGUGUGUGUCUUUCCAUCUUUGUUAAUGAUACACAUGGUGGGGUCAUGACAGAGUUGUACCAAAUAAUUUCUUCCUCAUUAUGGUCGAAUGCAGGGCUAUCCAAUUAAGGUGUCCACUGGCAAACCCACAGAAAUAAUAGCUGAUGGCUUGUACAUUGAUGGCGCUGAAGCUAUGUUGCCUUUCAGGUGACAGAUUCGAGGUACUAAUUACUAUCCUCAAAAUAGGCUCAGAACUUUGGAUAGCUCAUUUAAUGUUUAAAUAAAAACCUCCAGUAGAAUCACAGCUUCCACGAGGUAGACAAGCUGCUGGGUCUUGUAAGGAAGACAAUCUGCCUUUUUGAUCCCUGUUCCGCUUGGCUGGUCAUUCAGGAAGGAGAUGUAAUUCAAUCUCAAAUGCAACACAUUAUUAAUUCAUCCCUUAGGAAAGAGAACUUUCCAUCCUGUUAAAAAGAGGCAGUAGUUAGACUGCUGCUGAAAAAGCCCUCCCUGGAUCCCUUGGAUCUUAAUAAUUACAGAUCAGUAUCUAACCCCUCUUUUUUGGACAAGGUGAUUGAGAAGGCAGUUACCAUCCAACCCCAAGCAGUCUUGGAUGAAACACACUUCCUUGAUCCAUUUCAAACCAGCUUCAGAUCAG
ensembl:lncRNA